ensembl:lincRNA
AUGAUGACAACUCAACAACAUGCUCCUGGUCCAGAAAGAGAGAAUGUAAUCAGUCAGGAACAGGGAAGCUGGGGGUCCUGGUCUGCUCCUGAUCUCUGCCUAGCACUGGAGUUGGAGGAAACCUUGCAGCUCCUAUUUGAAUUUUACACUUGGAUGAUGUUUCUCUUGGCUUCGACUAUAAAGGCUGCUGCCCAGAGCCAAUCUUUGGCAAAGCAGAGAACCACAUGUGAGCUCUGGGAGGAUCUGAGACAUAUAUUCUGUGCAUGUAAGUGGUUGAUAUUAUGUAGAAGAGCACUUCGGAGAAGGGCACAGCAACCCACUCCAGUAUUCUGGCCUGGAGAAGCCCAAGGACAGAGGAGCCUGGUGGGCUACAGUCCAUGGGGUGGAAAAGAGCCGGACACAACUGAGUGACGCGCAGCACAGCGCAGCACAGAAGAGUGCUUCACAGAGUUCAAGUGUGUCUGCAUCUCCCGCAGCGCUAAGCUGCAGAGUCUGGAUCAGCGGCCCUGGAGUGGGGCUAAGAUUCUACAUCUCCAAUACGCUCCCAGGUCAUGCUGGUGUGUGGCUGGUCUCUGGAUGGAAUUUUGAACUGUACGUUGAAAAAGCCUCCAGUCCUCCUCCCAUGUUUCUCUUUUACCCUUACACUCCUAGCACACUCAAAACAUUUCUGACAUCAUAUGUGUGAGUUUACCCCACACCAAGCAAUUCUGUGACACCAGCUAGGUGUCCUGCGAUUCAGCAGAAUUCUGACACUAUCAACCAGGACAUAGCAUCAGGCCCCUACCAGGUUAAGAGCCCAGUUCCAUGAGACGGCCCUCCUGCCCCAACUUUGGAUUUGGAUCACAAGUGGCAGGUCUCCAGGUCACCCACAACUUCUGUCCAACUGGUCUACAAAUUGAAGGUUCCCCUGAGCUCCUUCCCCUUGGAUUCAAUGUUUUUGCAAAUAGCUCAUAGAACUGAGAGAAACAUUUAUGCUUGUGUGUGUGUGUAUGUGUGCUCAGCCACUCAGUCGUGUCUGACUCUUUGCGACCCCAUGGACUGUAGCCCACUGGGAUCCUCUGUCCGUUAGAUUUCUCAGGCAAGAAUAUUAGAGUUGAGUUGCCAUUUCCUUCUCCAAGGAUCUACCCCAGGGACUGAACCUGAAUCUUCUGCACUGGCAGGUGGAUUCUUCACCACUGUGCCACCUGGGAAGCCUUUUCUUAUGUUUACCAGUUUAUUAAAAGAUGUGAUAAAGAAUGCAUAUGAACAGUCAGAUGAAGAGAUACAUGGGGAGAGGUGUGCAGAAGGGUCCCGAGUACAGGCACUUCUUUCCACAUGGAGUUGAGGUGCAUCACCCACCCACCCCCUGCAUAUGUGGAUAUGUUCACCAACCUGGAAGCUCCCCGAAUCCUAUAUUUUGAGGCUUCUUCUGGAAACUUUAUCACAUCGGCAUAAUCAGUUAUUAACUCCAUUUCCAGCCCCUUCCCCUCUCUGGAGAUGGGAAGGUGGGGCUGAAGAUUUCAAGCUUCUAGUCAUGACUGAGUCUUUCUGGUGACCAGUGUCCUUUGGGGACCCCACUCAGUCUCUUCAUUAGAACAAAGAAGCUCCUAAUACUCCUAUCACGUAAGCAUUUAUGAGUUUCAGAAGCUCCAUGUCGGGAACCG